rnacentral:rRNA from 1 species
UACAGAGGUCCCAAGCGUUGUUCGGAUUCACUGGGCGUAAAGGGUGCGUAGGUGGCAGGGUAAGUUUGAUGUGAAAUCUCCGAGCUUAACUUGGAAACUGCAUUGAAUACUAUCCUGCUCGAGGUUUGGAAGGGGGACUGGAAUUCUCGGUGUAGCAGUGAAAUGCGUAGAUAUCGAGAGGAACACCAGUGGCGAAGGCGAGUCCCUGGACAACACCUGACACUGAGGCACGAAAGCUAGGGGAGCAAACAGG